rnacentral:rRNA from 1 species
UACGUAGGUGGCAAGCGUUGUCCGGAAUUAUUGGGCGUAAAGCGCGCGCAGGCGGUCCUUUAAGUCUGAUGUGAAAGCCCACGGCUCAACCGUGGAGGGUCAUUGGAAACUGGGGGACUUGAGUGCAGGAGAGAAAAGUGGAAUUCCACGUGUAGCGGUGAAAUGCGUAGAGAUGUGGAGGAACACCAGUGGCGAAGGCGACUUUUUGGCCUGUAACUGACGCUGAGGCGCGAAAGCGUGGGGAGCAAACAGGG